rnacentral:rRNA from 1 species
GAUGAACGCUAGCUACAGGCUUAACACAUGCAAGUCGAGGGGCAGCACUAGGUAGCAAUACUGAGGUGGCGACCGGCGCACGGGUGCGUAACGCGUAUCCAACCUUCCCGAUACUCUUGGAUAGCCUUCCGAAAGGGAGAUUAAUACAAGAUGGUGUUUCACUUUCGCAUGUUAUUGAAACUAAAGAUUUAUCGGUAUCGGAUGGGGAUGCGUGACAUUAGAUAGUAGGCGGGGUAACGGCCCACCUAGUCUACGAUGUCUAGGGGUUCUGAGAGGAAGGUCCCCCACGCUUGAACUGAGACACGGUCCAGACUCCUACGGGAGGCAGCAGUGAGGAAUAUUGGUCAAUGGUCGGAAGACUGAACCAGCUAAGUAGCGUGAAGGAUGAAGGUUCUAUGGAUUGUAUUCUUCUUUUAUACGGGAAUAAACCCUCCCACGUGUGGGAGCUUGUAUGUACCGUAUGAAUAAGCAUCGGCUAACUCCGUGCCAGCAGCCGCCGUAACAC